rnacentral:rRNA from 1 species
UGGGGAAUAUUGCGCAAUGGGCGAAAGCCUGACGCAGCGACGCCGUGUGGGUGAUGAAGGCCUUCGGGUCGUAAAGCCCUUUCGAGGGGAAAGAAAAAGUUGGGUUCAAAUAGGACUCAGCCCUGACGGUACCCCUAUAAGAAGCACCGGCUAACUCCGUGCCAGCAGCCGCGGUAAUACGGAGGGUGCGAGCGUUAAUCGGAAUUACUGGGCGUAAAGCGCACGUAGGUGGCGACGUAAGUCGGGUGUGAAAGCCCCGGGCUCAACCUGGGAAUUGCAUUCGAGACUGCAUUGCUGGAGUACGGAAGAGGAGGGCGGAAUUCCCGGUGUAGCGGUGAAAUGCGUAGAUAUCGGGAGGAACAUCAGUGGCGAAGGCGGCCCUCUGGUCCAGUACUGACACUCAAGUGCGAAAGCGUGGGGAGCAAACAGGAUUAGAUACCCUUGUAGUCCCUGAGCGGGCUGGCAAGGCGCAU